AGGACGAACGCUGGCGGCGUGCUUAACACAUGCAAGUCGAGCGGAAAGGCCCUUCGGGGUACUCGAGCGGCGAACGGGUGAGUAACACGUGAGUAACCUGCCCCUAGCUUCGGGAUAGCUCCGGGAAACCGGAAUUAAUACCGGAUAUGACCACGGCCGACAUCGGCCACGGUGGAAAGAUUCAUCGGCUAGGGAUGGGCUCGCGGCCUAUCAGCUUGUUGGUGGGGUAACAGCCUACCAAGGCGACGACGGGUAGCCGGCCUGAGAGGGCGACCGGCCACACUGGGACUGAGACACGGCCCAGACUCCUACGGGAGGCAGCAGUGGGGAAUAUUGCGCAAUGGGCGAAAGCCUGACGCAGCGACGCCGCGUGGGGGAUGAAGGCCUUCGGGUUGUAAACCCUUUCGGCAGGGACGAAGCGAAAGUGACGGUACCUGCAGAAGAAGCGCCGGCUAACUACGCGCCAGCAGCCGC
rnacentral:rRNA from 1 species